UGCUGGCGGCAAUGGACUCCA
rnacentral:misc_RNA from 1 species